ACCUAAAAACUUUCAGUUGAAUUCGAGAGAUUCAGAGGAGGAGAAGGAGAAAGAGCAACACAGGGUACAUAUGGGGAAGAAGCAAGGAGAGAGGGAAAGCUUUGAUUUUGAGGAUUGAUGCAGCGAAUGAAAUCAGAGAUGAUGUUGAUUGCCGCCAUUGAUGCUUCUCUCUCGUUGUAUUUCUUUUUCAAUCUCAGAUUUUAAACACACGAAAGUUUCAGAUUUUCAUUAGAUUGGAUAAUUUGUGAUUUGGGUCUCUCAAUUUCCAAACCGAAUGCAAGAGUUAUCUACUGUUGAUGGUUUUGCGGAGAUAAAUGAAAGCUUAGCCAAGAUGGGGGUUUACUACAUCCAAUAUCACGCCCAAAAUGCAGCACCAAAUGUUCUUAAUCUCAGCAUCAACAUUUUGGAGAAGUCCCGUGAAACAUUCUUGCAUACCGAAGACUUGGAAGAUUCUAUAUCCAUGGUGAAAUCAAUGAAAAAGUGUGGUUCAUCUAUCAUCUAUAUCUGUUGUUAGACAUCUAUGAUGGUUGUGAAACAUUUUUAUAUUGUUUUGGUACUCGUUUGAUGUUUAUUCACUAUAAGAAUGUCAAAUAUUUCUAUUUGACAAGUUAAUA